rnacentral:rRNA from 1 species
UGCUUCGCAAGAAGUAGUGGCAACUGAGUGGCGAACGGGUGAGUAACACGUGGGUGACCUACCUUCGAGUGGGGGAUAACGUCCCGAAAGGGACGCUAAUACCGCAUAACAUCCUUCCUUUGAACAGGGGGAGAUCAAAGCCGGGGAUCGCAAGACCUGGCGCUUGAUGAGGGGCCCGCGUCCGAUUAGCUAGUUGGUGAGGUAAUGGCUCACCAAGGCAACGAUCGGUAGCCGGCCUGAGAGGGCGGACGGCCACACUGGGACUGAGACACGGCCCAGACUCCUACGGGAGGCAGCAGUGGGGAAUUGUUCACAAUGGGCGCAAGCCUGAUGACGCAACGCCGCGUGGAGGAUGAAGGUCUUCGGAUUGUAAACUCCUGUUGCCCGGGACGAAAAGCUCCGACCUAACACGUCGGAGUCUGACGGUACCGGGUGAGGAAGCCCCGGCUAACUCUGUGCCAGCAGCCGCGGUAAUACAGAGGGGGCAAGCGUUGUUCGGAAUUACUGGGCGUAAAGGGCGCGUAGGCGGCCUGCUAAGUCGAACGUGAAAUCCCCGGGCUCAACCCGGGAACUGCGUCCGAUACUGGCGGGCUUGAAUUCGGGAGAGGGAUGUGGAAUUCCAGGUGUAGCGGUGAAAUGCGUAGAUAUCUGGAGGAACACCGGUGGCGAAGGCGGCAUCCUGGACCGAUAUUGACGCUGAUGCGCGAAAGCCAGGGGAGCAAACGGGAUUAGAUACCCCGGUAGUCCUGGCCCUAAACGAUGAAUGCUUGGUGUGGCGGGUAUCGAUCCCUGCCGUGCCGAAGCUAACGCAUUAAGCAUUCCGCCUGGGGAGUACGGUCGCAAGGCUG